GACGAACGCUGGCGGCGUGCUUAACACAUGCAAGUCGAACGGAAAGGCCCUGCUUUUGUGGGGUGCUCGAGUGGCGAACGGGUGAGUAACACGUGAGUAACCUGCCCUUGACUUUGGGAUAACUUCAGGAAACUGGGGCUAAUACCGGAUAGGAGCUCCUGCUUCUUGGUGGGGGUUGGAAAGUUUCGGCGGUUGGGGAUGGACUCGAGGCUUAUCAGCUUGUUGGUGGGGUAGCGGCUUACCAAGGCCUUGACGGGUAGCCGGCCUGAGAGGGUGACCGGCCACAUUGGGACUGAGAUACGGCCCAGACUCCUACGGGAGGCAGCAGUGGGGAAUAUUGCACAAUGGGCGGAAGCCUGAUGCAGCAACGCCGCGUGCGGGAUGACGGCCUUCGGGUUGUAAACCGCUUUCGCCUGUGACGAAGCGUGAGUGACGGUAAUGGGUAAAGAAGCACCGGCUAACUACGUG
rnacentral:rRNA from 1 species